rnacentral:ncRNA from 1 species
CAGUUGUAUGAAAGGAGAGAAGAUUAGCACUCCCCUUGAUAAGGAUGGAAGAGGUCCUUGUGGUCUUUGCAACACACAUAUGGUUAAGGUGCUGCCACUUAAGGCUAGAUCCCACU